AGUGAACGCUGGCGGUAGGCCUAACACAUGCAAGUCGAACGGCAGCACAGUAAGAGCUUGCUCUUACGGGUGGCGAGUGGCGGACGGGUGAGGAAUACAUCGGAAUCUACUUUUUCGUGGGGGAUAACGUAGGGAAACUUACGCUAAUACCGCAUACGACCUACGGGUGAAAGCGGGGGAUCUUCGGACCUUGCGCGAUUGGAUGAGCCGAUGUCGGAUUAGCUAGUUGGCGGGGUAAAGGCCCACCAAGGCGACGAUCCGUAGCUGGUCUGAGAGGAUGAUCAGCCACACUGGAACUGAGACACGGUCCAGACUCCUACGGGAGGCAGCAGUGGGGAAUAUUGGACAAUGGGCGCAAGCCUGAUCCAGCCAUACCGCGUGGGUGAAGAAGGCCUUCGGGUUGUAAAGCCCUUUUGUUGGGAAAGAAAAGCAGCAGGUUAAUACCCCGCUGUUCUGACGGUACCCAAAGAAUAAGCACCGGCUAACUUCGUG
rnacentral:rRNA from 1 species